UCAGCCCUCAAUUCCACUUUUGCCUCCAGUUCUCAGGGAUUAGACAACCCAAGGUACGUGAUCAGACUUUGUUUUGAUUUUAGAAGAUCGUGCUGGCUGCAAGCCGACUGAAGAGAUUAGAGUGAAUACAGGCCAGCCGGCAGGGGGGCCAUUGCGCCCGCCCAGGUGAGACAGGGCUGGAGCUGGUGAGAGAGAUGGAGAGAGGAGGAUGGAUUCAAGAGAUACUCAGAAGCAGACAGGCUACAGGAAAUAGCAGAUUGGGAGAGGAGUGGGAACAGGAGAAGCUGUCUUUGGCUCGGCUGGAAGGUGAAGGGAUUCCAGAUGCCGGUUCCUGGCUUGCUCCCCGCUCUCCAUUUGGCUUCAUCCUGGGGCUCUCUUCCUCCCCACAGAGGGGUGGUGGGCACUCUGUGCCACACCUCUCCUCUCUGGGAUCUCAGGUCUGUCCCUGAAACCUGCUGGUAGAAGAACCUCUAGAGUCCUUGCCUCCUUCCCACCGUGUGACCAUUGCCCAUUGGCACAUCUGUCAAGACACAGAUUUUUGGAAGAAAAAAGAAAGAGUGAAUGCUGCAGAGAUGGAUUGUUAAUUUUCCAAAUGAGAUAUGACUCUGAGAUCCCACCUACCCAGCUGGUAGGACGUUCCACCAUGCUCCCUAAGGUGGUUUGAGUGUUUGGAAUGACAAAGACUCUCUCAUCACCCUGAAACCUUAGUCCGGCGGCGCCUCUGAGUCUUCUGCUUGACGAGGCCUGACCUUGGGCUUCCCCAUGUCCUUUCAGAAUCCAGUUUGAGCAAGAAUCCUGCUAAGUCAGGCAUCUGUAGGCUUUGUUAAUCUAGGAGUCUGACCACCCACGUCCUCAGCUGGUCCUGUCCCUCCACAGCCCUCUUCUCCCAGCCCUUCAAUCAUCUCUCCGGACUAUAAGCUUAUUAAGAGCACGGGAGUAGUCAGCACAUCAAGUGUUUGGCACCGGGGUGAGGUGACUGACUACAGCUCUGGGAAGCUCCGCAGAACAAACACCAGAAUGAACGGUGUCUUCAUUCUCCAGUGAGAGGACUUUGCAUCCUGACUUUGUGUACUCUUUCAGGAGCAGACCACCAGAGACAGUCACACAAGGGGAGGGGAGAUGGCAUUGUGGGAGUGGCCCACUCCGUGAGCACAUGAAAUUUUAGAUCUCCACUUCCGUUUGGUAGCAUGUAAAACAGCAGACUCUUGGAAAGUCAUCUUUGGAGGGAACCCAAGAGGUCAUCAUAUCCAGAACUUCAUUUUACAAACAUGUAAACUGAGGCCAGAAAGAGAAAAUGACAGGAGCAAAUAGGUGAUGCUAAUAGGUGAUGGUGUUGGAUUCAAACCCAGGUGUUUUAUCCUGAUGCAAUAAGAAAUACGGAUUUGGUCUCUGUCCCUGGUUCCUGGCAUACAGCUCCUAAAACCCUUGUAAUCUCUGACAAAAGAAUGUCUUUUGGAUGCUAAGAGGAAACUGGUGGCUGGGAGCCCCUAGAUGGCUUCAGAAUGGGGGCUGGUCACCAGAAAGACCAUGGUAUGAUUAGAACCUCUUGAGAGGAGAGAGGGGCUGAAGGUUGCGUUGAUACCUUAUGGCCGAUGAUGUAAUCAAUCAGGCCUAUGUCAUAAAGCUUCCAUAAAAACCAAAGAAAACUUGGUUCAGGAGGCUCCAGACAGCUGAACCUGUGGAGGCGCCUGGAGGGUGGAUCUUCCGGAAAGCACAUGGCAGCUCCGCGCCCCUUCCCACAUGACUUGCCCUGUGCAUCUCUUCCAUCUGGCUGCUCAUCUGUAUCCUUUAUCAUAUCCUUUAAAAGAAACCGGUAAAUGUAAAGUAAGUGUUCUGUGAGCUGCUCUAGCAAAUUAAUUGAAACCAAGGAGGGGGUCUUGGGAACCCCAACUUAUAGUUGGUUGGUCAAAAGCACAGGUCACAACCUUAGUCGUGUGAUUGGCACCUGAACUGGGGGCAAUCUUGUGGGACUGAGCCAUCAGCUGUGGGAUCUGACUCUCACUGCAAGUAGAUGGUGCCAGAAUGGAACUGAAUUAUAGGACACCCAGUUGGUGUCUGCUGGAGAAUUUCUUGGUGUGUAGGGAAAAGCCCCCAUGCAUCUGGUCACAGAAGUAUGCUAUAGUGAAAGACAGUUUGUUUUCCCUUCAGACUGCAUCUCUUUAUAGUUUGUUCUUUGCUAAGAAGAGCUAGAAUUUAGUCUCUUAGCUUCAGACACAAUGUGAAAUUCAUGGAACCAUUACUUAAACAAAAAGUAACCUCUAUGUAUAUAUGUGUAUAUGUGUGUGUGUGUGUGUGUGUGUAUGUGUAUACAUAUAUAUAUAUUUUCCCAGAAAUAUGCUGAACACUAUGGAAGUAUGCUGAACACUAU
rnacentral:lncRNA from 10 species